CAAUAUUUUUUUGUUGGACAACUGCUAGUACCUGUUAAUGAAUAUAUCGGGGUUGCGCUAGUCACUGAUUUUCAAAGUUCUCGAUGAGUAUUCCAACUGGGGAAAUAUAUGUUGACACAGGCCCAGAAUUGUGUUUCCCAGAUUCAUAUAUUUCGUUCAUUAGAGCGUUUUCGUGCAAUUCAAGUUUUUUAACAAACUUUUUUUGGUGGCAUAAUGCGUAAGUGCAAAGAGGCAUAACAGCAGAUGUAUUAUAAACGACCUUACGCUCUAAAAUUUCCAACUCUUUGGCUACUGUUGGAGAUAUGGUGAACCAGAUCCAGGAAAGCCAUAAACCAGAACUGAUCUGAUAGUCACCUUGUACAAAAGUAGUUUCGUUUGUAGCGCUUUUUGCAGAUUCAGUCUCACAUGUUGAUUGAAUUUCAUCAAUUUGUUAAAUGUUAUGCACAAGUACUUGAUUUCAGAUUGACGCGCAAGGACGCUCCCCUGCGGCACUCCGUUGUUGAUCAUGCCAGAUGAGGAUAGUGCGCUCUUUAUUUUCACUGUGGAAUAAUUUAACAACGACAAGCUCAAAAACUUUCCCGACACUUGAUAAUUAAUUGGGAUUAUGUUGGCUCAUUUCCAAGCAGCCGGAAAAUGUCUAUUAUUUUUACAAUUGUUGUAUAUACAGAUUCUUUUGCCAUUGACGUUUGCAUUUAAAAGUUUUUUUUUGCCUUUUCGGAGAGCCGGAAUUUAUGUUCAUUGGCAUGAAUCUUUUGAGAAUGAGAGUCAUAGAUUGUCCCAAAGACCAGAUUAAAAUCCUCAAUAAAUGAAUCCAGCUCAUUGUUGGACAAGUUGCAGUUUGAUGGAGGCAUUAACCUCUCAGAUUCGGUGUCAAGGAUGCUUCUAAAGCUGUUCCAGUCAGUACUUUUAUAUGAAGUGAAGGC